AAGGCAGAGUUGUCAACUGUCUGGCUAAGUGUUGAAAAAUAUUACUGGGCUUAGUGAGAAUUGGAGCUUAAGCUUCCCAUUAGUCAAACCUACUUGGAAACCCAGUUAGCAAGGCAAUCUAGGAUGGGUCCAAGAGAACUCAUAGAGAGGUAGGGCUAACUCUUGCCUGAGGGCAUUUACCAAUUAAGAGGAAAUGGUAACAUAUCUUCAUAUGGAAGAUUGUUGGACUCCAGGGGAAAAUAAUCAAAGCCAUCAGAGAAAUGAAAUGAUUGUCAGAGACUGGAUGGUAGAGAGGAGAUUGGCUACAAAUGGACAUAGGAACUUUUUUGGACCUUUCACUCUGGGGAAAGACAGCUGCCAUGUCGUGAGGACACUCAACCAAUCUACAGCAAGGUCCACAUGGGGCUGAAAACUGAUGGACAGGCCUGGUUGAUUUCCUUGCUCAAGGAAUUCACAAGUUAGAGGUCUUUAUCCUCAUCACCAUAGAACCUAUCCUCCUCCAUAGAUCUGAAGACAUUAAUGAAAUCAAAUGUAGCUACUUCCUUCAAUAGGUUGGAGGAUUUGCACUCUGUUUAAGCAAUCUUUGUUUACACCAACAUCUUGAAGAGUUUCUCCUAUUUUCUUCAGGUAAUUUUAUUGUAUUCUUUUUUACAUUUAGGCCUAGGAACCAUCUUCAUGAAUUAAUUAGUUAAUUAAUUAAAUGUGUAUGGACUCAAAGUACAUUAUUUCCAUAUAAAUUUCCAAUUGACCAAGCACUGUUUAUCCUACUCAACUGCGAUUGUGCUUUUGUCAUAUAUGAUAGCAUCUAUCAUGUGUGGAACUGUUUCUGGGCUCUCUGUUCUGGUGUAUUAGACUGUUUGUGCUUGGUGUUAAUUUUACAUUGUCUUAAUUACUAUAGCUUUAUAGCAAGUCUUUACAAUGUAGUUUUAUAGCCAGUACAGCCUUCAUUUGUUUUUCUCUUCAAAGAUCAUCUUGCUAUAUUAGGUCAUCUGUGUUUCCAUAGAAAAUGUGACAACUUUCACAGACAAUUAGAAUUUUGAUUGAGACUGCUUUGCAUCCGUAGACCAAAGUUGGCUUUAAGAAUAUGAAAUUUUAAUAUUUCCUUUAAGUAGUUCCCAUCGUAGCUCAGCAGAUAGCAAACCUGACUAGCCUCCAUGAGGAUGCAAUGAUCCCUGGCCUUGCUCAGUGGGUUAUGGAUAUUGCGUUGCUGUGAGCUAUGGUGUGGGUUGCAGAUGCGGCUUGGAUCCCACGUGGCUAUGGUGUAGGCCAGCAGCUUCAGCUCUGAUUGGACCCCUAGCCUGGGAACCUCCAUAUGCCAUGGAUGUAGCCCUAAAAAGAC
rnacentral:lncRNA from 1 species